UCGCAUUUAUUUAAAUGAAGUAUUUUGUAAACUUACUCAUUUAUUUAUUUAUUUAUUUUAGAGUCGAGUGAGAAACGACUAAUUUAGUUAGGUGAUUAAUUCAAAAUGGGUGUCUUUUGGGGAUUUGAAAUUUCCGACCCUAAGAUUAACAACAAAUCCUAACGAGCAAAACAAACACAUUGAAGUAAAGAGGAAAAAAGGGUGGGACCCAAAUCUGGUUUCUGUUCGCCUGGACCAGCAUUUGGGCCUAUUUCGUUUUGGGACCAAAGACCCAAUAUUCAACACCUGUCCUAAACUAAUCUUUGAAUUUUGCUUCUCUUUGGGCCUUUGGCCCAACCCUUGUCUCCUUGUACCUGUCCUAGUAACUAACAAAUAAUAAUAAUUACAAUAAAUGAGAUUAGGCCUAAAAUAACAAAAUACAAGUUUCUUUUUGUGCAAAGAGUGGGCCUUUGGCCCAAUCUUUCAAUUCUUCUUUGCUUCGAAUCCUUUCAACUCCAAGACAUGUUCAUCGAUAUUCACGGUUGUCCGACUCAAAAAGAGGAAUUCGAGCCUUUGCGGCUCUCCCGAAAUGCAAGAGGGAAUAAGAGUUCAUGGUGAACUCGGACGGAUUUCACAUAAGAAAGAAUACACAUAAAAAUAAAUUAGUACCUACUUAUAAU
rnacentral:lncRNA from 1 species